UGCCGCACGCCUCCUUCCCGCCCUCGGUGGCGCACGGGGGCGGGGCCCGCUGCCGUAAAACGGCUGGGGCUGGGCCGGGGCUGGCAGGCGGUUGCUAGGCUCCAGCGGCUCCCGGCCAGCGGGGACGUGGAGGUGACAUUUCUCUGACCCACAGGACUGUGGGCGCCCUGCCGAGCGUCGCGCGGUCUUGGGGCGACCUGCAGUGGGGCCCCUGCGGCGCAGCGCGCGGUGGGACUGGCCGGGUUCCCGCGCCGCCCAGGGCCUGUGUCUGCGCCGGUUCCUGGCAAGGGCACCUUGGCCGGGCGGCCCGCGUCCCCUGCGCUUCCCACACCCACGUGGGCGGACCCGGCCCGCAAGCUGGGCCAGCCUGCGGUUUCCGGGCACUGGGGAGUGCGCAGAGCCCCGGGCCAGCGACCGCAGCCGGGGCCCCUGGCUUCUCCCGAGCACUUUCCCCCGGACCGGUCCCUCCAGGGUGGCGGGCGGCACCCAGGGCCGGCGCUCCUCACCAACGCGCUGCAGCUACGGGCUCAGGAGGGAGCCGCAGCGUCGGAGGAGGAAAGCAUUUAAGAAUAGCACAAAGCCUUAGGCUCGAGGAAGCGUGACUGCUUACGUGUUGAAAAUAAAGGUUCUGUAAGUCCCACCGCGGGUGCAUAUUGAAAAGAAAGGGAUCAUUAGCACGCGACCCUCGCCUAGGAGUAUAUAAACCGCAGCACGACUUUCGGAUCACAAAGGCAGAGAAAAGAACACAUUGAAGGCUUUUGCUCACUUUUCCAAGUUGUUUCGUUUCGUUUUGUUUCUAAUGUGGACGAUCAUUUAAAAUGCCUCUGGUGGCCGGGCGCGGUGACUGACGCCUGUAAUCACAGCACUUUGGGAGGCCGAGGCGGGCGGAUCACCUGAGGUCAGGAAUUCGAGACCAGCCUGGGCAAUACGGUUAAACCCCCUCUCUACUAAAAAUAAAAAAAUUAGCUGGGCGUGGUGGCAUGUGCUUGUAGUCCCAGCUACUUGGGAGGCUGAGACAGAAGAAUCGCUUGAACCCGGGAGGCGGAAGUUGCAAUGAGCCAAGAUUGCGCCAUUGCAUUCCAGCCUGGGCAACAGAGCAAGACCCUGUCUCCAAAAAAAACAAAUAAAUAUAACAAAAUUCCUCUGGUAGCCGGGUGCGGUGGCUCACGCCUGUAAUCUCAGCACUUUGGGAGGCUGAGGCAGGUGGAUCACUUGAAGUCAAGAGUUUGAGACCAGCCUGGCCAAUAUAGUGAAACCUCAUCUCUACUGAAAAUACAAAAAUUAGCCAGGCGUGGUGAUGCGCUCCUGUGAUCCCAGCUACUCGGGAGGCUGAGGCGUGAGAAUCGGUUGAACCCGGGAGGUGGAGGUUGUAGUGAUCCGAGAUUGUGCCAUUGCACUCCAGCCUGGGCAACAGAGGGAGAUCCUGUCUCUAAAAUAAAAAAUAAAAGAAAUGCCUUUGGUGAACAGGAAUUCUCAACAUUAGUGACCCGCAGUGUAUUAGUGUUAAUAAUGGACAUCCCCUUUGAUCCAGCAAGCCCAUCUAGAGAUUUCCUAGGAUAGACAAGCCAGUUUGUGCAAUUUCAUGUGUACAGCAUUGUUUUUAGUAUGGAAAGAUUAGAGUUUACAUAUCUACCCAUAGGGAGAGAGUUAAAUAAAUUAUGGUGCAUCCGUUUAGUGGAUUAGUAUACAGCCAUUAGGAAUAAAGGAAUUCUUUAUGUGCUGAUAUGAAAUAUCUUUUUUAUUUUCAAGAAAAAAACCCAGGUUCUGAAUAGUGUAUAAAGUAUGCUACUCAUUGUGCAUAGGGACAAAGAAAAUAUAUACAUUCAUGUUUGCAAAGAUACUGGAGAAAUGUUAGUAGUGGCUGCCUCUAAGGAUGACCAAGAGUGACACUGACUUUUCAUUGUAUCUUCCUUUGUUCUUUUUGAAAUUUGUACAGUCUACUUAUGCUAUCUAUUCAAAAUAAGUGGUGUUAAGAAGAAAUGCCUUUGAGAAUGAAAAUGUGUCCAUCAGCUUCCUAUGAUUGAAGAAAAGCUUCCACUUGUAAUAAACCAACUUCUCUCAUCCAGUUAUCAACAUAGACCAAAAAAAAAAAGAAAAAAAAAAGGCCAGGCGCAGUGGCUCAUGCCUGUAAUCCCAGCACUUUGGGAGGUCAAGGUGGGCAGAUCACUUGAAGUCAGGAGUUCAAGACCAGUCUGGCCAACAUGGUGAAACCCUGUCUCUACUAAAAAUACAGAAAUUAGCCGGGAAUUGGUGGUGCGCACCUAUAGUUCCAGCUACUCAGGAGGCUGAGGCAGGUGAAUCGCUUGAAUCCAGGAGGCGGAGGUUGCAUUGAGAGGAGAUCAUGCCACUGCACUGGGCGGCAGAGCAAAACUCUGUCUCAAGAAGAAAAAGAAAAAAGAAAAAAGCGGAGUCGUUCUGUGAGUGAAAACACUGAAUUCCACCGGUUCCUGAUCAUAUUGCCUUUAUUUCAUUCAUUCAUUCAUUCUGGAAAUGGGGAUAAAUAGCCCGUUUGUCUUUCCUGCAGGUUUGUUACGAUGGUGAAGGCAAUUUAGAAGGAACUAUUUAGUGGAGGAUAAAAGUGUUUUGUAAAUGUUAA
rnacentral:lncRNA from 1 species